ACUCCUACGGGAGGCAUCAGUGGGGAAUAUUGGACAAUGGGGGGAACCCUGAUCCAGCCAUGCCGCGUGUGUGAAGAAGGCCUUAUGGUUGUAAAGCACUUUAAGCGAGGAGGAGGCUCUCUUGGUUAAUACCCAAGAUGAGUGGACGUUACUCGCAGAAUAAGCACCGGCUAACUCUGUGCCAGCAGCCGCGGUAAUACAGAGGGUGCGAGCGUUAAUCGGAUUUACUGGGCGUAAAGCGCAUGCAGGCGGCCUGUUAAGUCAGAUGUGAAAGCCCGGGGCUUAACCUCGGAAUUGCAUUUGAAACUGGCAGGCUAGAGUCUUGUAGAGGGGGGUAGAAUUUCAGGUGUAGCGGUGAAAUGCGUAGAGAUCUGAAGGAAUACCAGUGGCGAAGGCGGCCCCCUGGACAAAGACUGACGCUCAGAUGCGAAAGCGUGGGAGCAAACAGGAUUAGAUA
rnacentral:rRNA from 1 species